AACGAACGCUGGCGGCAGGCUUAACACAUGCAAGUCGAACGCCCCGCAAGGGGAGUGGCAGACGGGUGAGUAACGCGUGGGAACAUACCCUUUUCUACGGAAUAGCUCUGGGAAACUGGAAUUAAUACCGUAUACGCCCUACGGGGGAAAGAUUUAUCGGGGAAGGAUUGGCCCGCGUUGGAUUAGCUAGUUGGUGGGGUAAAGGCCUACAAAGGCGACGAUCCAUAGCUGGUCUGAGAGGAUGAUCAGCCACAUUGGGACUGAGACACGGCCCAAACUCCUACGGGAUGCAGCAGUGGGGAAUAUUGGACAAUGGGCGCAAGCCUGAUCCAGCCAUGCCGCGUGAGUGAUGAAGGCCUUAGGGUUGUAAAGCUCUUUCACCGAUGAAGAUAAUGACGGUAGUCGGAGAAGAAGCCCCGGCUAACUUCGUG
rnacentral:rRNA from 1 species